UACGGGGGGAGCAAGCGUUGUUCGGAUUUACUGGGCGUAAAGGGCGCGUAGGCGGUCAGCACAAGUCAGUUGUGAAAUCUCCGGGCUUAACUCGGAACGGUCAACUGAUACUGUGCGACUAGAGUGCGGAAGGGGCAACUGGAAUUCUCGGUGUAGCGGUGAAAUGCGUAGAUAUCGAGAGGAACACCUGCGGCGAAGGCGGGUUGCUGGGCCGACACUGACGCUGAUGCGCGAAAGCCAGGGAGCGAACGGG
rnacentral:rRNA from 1 species